CGAUGCGAUCAUACCAACUCAUAUGCAUCGAAGCUCAUUAGAAUUCUGAAGUUAAGCGAAUUUGGACGAAAGUAGUACUAGGAUGGGUAAUCUCUUGGGAAGUCAUCGUGUUACAUCCCCCACCUCUUAUGCGAUCAUACCAACUCACAUGCACCGGAUUCCAUCAGAACGCUGAAGUUAGCAAGUUUGGGUAAGAGUAAUACUAAGAUGGAUGACCUCCUGAGAAGGCCUCAUGUUGCAUCCC
rnacentral:sRNA from 1 species